rnacentral:rRNA from 1 species
CCUACGGGUGGCUGCAGUCGAGAAUCAUUCACAAUGGGGGAAACCCUGAUGGUGCGACGCCGCGUGGGGGAAUGAAGGUCUUCGGAUUGUAAACCCCUGUCAUGUGGGAGCAAAUUAAAAAGAUAGUACCACAAGAGGCAGAGACGGCUAACACCGUGCCAGCAGCCGCGGUAAUAGGGGGGAUGCGAGGGUUAUCCGGAUUCAUUGGGUUUAAAGGGGGCGCAGGCGGGCCUUAAAGCCGGCGGUGAAAUCGCGGGGCUCAACCCCGCCGAGCCGUCGAAACUGGGGGCCUUGAGUGCGGCGGAGGCAUGCGGAAUGCGCGGUGUAGCGGUGAAAUGCAUAGAUAUCGCGCAGAACCCCGAUUGCGAAGGCAGCGGGCCGUGCCGCCACUGACGCUGAGGCACGAAAGCGCGGGGAUCGAACAGGAUUAGAUACCCGAGUAGUC